UGCCUCGAACCAAGACGGAACCGGCGACCUUUAAACCUUCAGUCUAAGACCUUCCCAACUGAGCUAUCGAGGC